rnacentral:rRNA from 1 species
GAUGAACGCUGGCGGCGUGCCUAAUACAUGCAAGUCGAGCGAACAGAUAAGGAGCUUGCUCCUUUGACGUUAGCGGCGGACGGGUGAGUUACACGUGGAUAACCUACCUAUAAGACUGGGAUAACUUCGGGAAACCGGAGCUAAUACCGGAUAACAUAUUGAACCGCAUGGUUCAAUAGUGAAAGGCGGCUUUGCUGUCACUUAUAGAUGGAUCCGCGCCGUAUUAGCUAGUUGGUAAGGUAACGGCUUACCAAGGCAACGAUACGUAGCCGACCUGAGAGGGUGAUCGGCCACACUGGAACUGAGACACGGUCCAGACUCCUACGGGAGGCAGCAGUAGGGAAUCUUCCGCAAUGGGCGAAAGCCUGACGGAGCAACGCCGCGUGAGUGAUGAAGGCCUUCGGAUCGUAAAACUCUGUUAUCAGGGAAGAACAAAUGUGUAAGUAACUGUGCACAUCUUGACGGUACCUGAUCAGAAAGCCACGGCUAACUACGUG